UGGGUGUUAGCUAAGUUCGGUUUAAGGCAAUGCAUCUUUUAUUUUUGACGCAUUUUCAUAGGUUCAAAUCCUAUACACCCAG
rnacentral:tRNA from 1 species